AUUGAACGCUGGCGGCAGGCCUUACACAUGCAAGUCGAGCGCGAGGCGGACGGGGGAGUAAUGUCUGGGAAAAUGCGUGCUGGAGGGGGAGAUAUACUGGAAACGGUAGCUAAUACCGCAUACCAUCAGAUGUGCCCAGAUGGGAGUAGCUAGUAGGGGGGGGGACGGCUCACCUAGGCGACGAUCCCUAGCUGGUUUGAGAGGAUGACCAGCCACACUGGAACUGAGACACGGCCCAGACUCCUACGGGAGGCAGCAGUGGGGAAUAUUGGGCAAUGGGGGCAAGCCUGAUGCAGCCAUCCCGCGUGUGUGAAGAAGGCCUUCGGGUUGUAAAGCACUUUGAGCAGGGAGGCGUUAUCCGCAGAAUAAGCACCGGCUAACUCCGUGCCAGCAGCCGCGGUAAUAC
rnacentral:rRNA from 1 species